UUUUACUAUCCUCUUGGGGACGUGUGUGUGUGUGGUCUUGUUUUACUGUCCUUGUGGGGACGUGUGUGUGUGUGGUCUUGUUUUACUGUCCUUGUGGGGACGUGUGUGUGUGUGGUCUUGUUUUACUAUCCUCGUGGGGACGUGUGUGGUCUUGUUUUACUGUCCUCGUGGGGACGUGUGUGUGUGGUCUUGUUUUAAUGUUCUCGUUGUCAUGGUCAAUACUGCUAUCAUCUAGUGUAUAAGCUGCUUCAGACUGCAUGCCUCUGUAGCUCAGACCCCUCUUGUUUAUGACUUUAACAACAUCUAUAAUGCGCUCCAGCACUUGCCUUCUUCUGCGUACUUGCUCUCCAUGAGCAGACAUCUGACUGCCGAUGAACAGGCCCUCAAUGUUAACUUCAGGGGACCUUAAGAAAGUAGGCCUCGGCAUAACCUCUAUGCAUAAUGCUGUUCUCAUUCUCUUCCACUCUGAUGGAUAUGUUUCCAGUCUGCUAUUCUCUGUGGACUUUGCAAAUGCCAUACAAAUGAAUUAGAAUAAAGCAUGGUUCUCUUCACUGUAUGACAGCUACUUCCUGUUGGUCCCAUCUUUACAAAAGAAAACCUUCUGCACCACAGACUUUUCACACUUUUGUUGGAGGUGGAAACUAAAAAACAUAUCUAUGUCCCCUGACUUCAGCCUCAGUGGCAGUGUCAUCCUGGCUCUGGCUCAAUCUACAUCUGUCCACUGCAGAUGCACUAUCCUCAACCUGGAUGAGAAAUUUGUAUAAAUGUGUAUAUUAGUAUAAUAUUAUAACAUUAUUAUAUUAACAUUUAACUUUUUAUUUAAACUCAGUAAAAGUCCUCUCACUGUCAACUGCGUUUAUUUUCAGCAAACAUAACAUUUGUAAAUAUAUGUUUGAACAUAACAAGAUACAACAACUGAGACAUAAACUGAACAAGUUCCACAGACAUGUGACUAACAGAAAUGGAAUAAUGUGUCCCUGAAAUCCGGGCUCUUCGUUGGCCAUGGCAGAACACUGACAUUCCUGUCUUGCAGGAAAUCACGCACAGAACGAGCAGUAUGGCUGGUGGUAUUGUCAUGCUGGAGGGUCAUGUCAGGAUGAGCCUGCAGGAAGGGUACCACAUGAGGGAGGAGGAUGCCUUCCCUGUAACGGACAGCGUUGAGAUUGCCUGCAAUGACAACAAGCUCAGCCCGAUGAUGCUGUGACACACCGCCCCAGACCAAAUCGAUCCCGCUCCAGAGUACAGGCCUCGGUGUAACGCUCAUUUCUUUGACGAUAAACGCGAAUCCGACCAUCACCUCUGGUGCGACAAAACCGCGACUUGUCAGUGAAGAGCACUUUUUGCCGGUCCUGUCUGGUCCAGCGACGGUGGGUUUGUGCCCAUAGGCAACGUUGUUGCCGGUGAUGUCUGGUGAGGACCUGCCUUACAACAGGCCUACAAGCCCUCAGUCCAGCCUCCCUCAGCCUAUUGCGGACAGUCUGAGCACUGAUGGAGGGAUUGUGCGUUCCUGGUGUAACUCUGUCAGUUGUUGUUGCCAUCCUGUACCUGUUCCGCAGGUGUGAUGUACCGAUCCUGUGCAGGUGUUGUUACGCGUGGUCUGCCACUGCGAGGACGAUCAGCUGUCCGUUCUGGUCUACAUUGGUGGCUAGUCUCUAGUUUGUUGAUGCUAAGUACUAACUUACCAUCCCUUGUGUGUGUAGUCUUGUUUUACUGUGUGUGUGUGGUCUUGUUUUACUAUCCUUGUAUGUGUGGUCUUGUUUUACUGUCCUCGUAGGGACGUGUGUAUGUGAGGUCUUGUUUUACUGUCCUCGUGGGGACGUGUGUGUGUGGUCUUGUUUUACUAUCCUCGUGUGUGUGUGGUCUUGUUUUACUAUCCUCGUGGGGACGUGUGUGUGUGGUCUUGUUUUACUAUCCUCUUGGGGACAAAUUUGUGUGUGGUCUUGUUUUACUAUCCUCUUGGGGACAAAUUUGUGUGUGGUCUUGUUUUACUAUCCUCGUGGGGAUGUGUGUGUGGUCUUGUUUUACUGUCCUCAUGUGUGUGUGUGUGUGGUCUUGUUUUGCUGUCCGUGUGUGUGUGUGGUCUUGUUUUACUGUCCUCGUGGGAACGUGUGUGUGUGUGUGGUCUUGUUUUGCUGUGUGUGUGUGUGGUCUUCUUUUACUGUCCUCGUGGGAACGUGUGUGUGUGUGGUCUUGUUUUGCUGUCCGUGUGUGUGUGUGGUCUUGUUUUACUAUCCUCGUGGGGACGUGUGUGUGUGUGUGUGUGUGAGGUCUUGUUUUACUGUCCUCGUGUGGACGUGUGUGGUCUUGUGUUACUGUCCUCGUGGGGACGUUUGUGUGUGUGAGGUCUUGUUUUAUCUCCUCGUGGGGACGUGUGUGUGUGAGGUCUUGUUUUAUCUCCUCGUGCGGACGUGUGUCAAAUCAAAUUGUAUUUGUCACAUACACAUGGUUAGCAGAUGUUAAUGCGAGUGUAGCGAAAUGCUUGUGCUUCUAGUUCCGACAAUGCAAUAAUGACCAACGAGUAAUCUAACCUACUAAUUUCACAACAACUACCUUAAAGGGAUGAAGAAUAUGUACAUAAAGAUAUAUGAAUGAGUGAUGGUACAGAACGGCAUAGGCAAGAUGCAGUAGAUGGUAUCGAGUAGAGUAUAUACAUAUACGAUGAGUAAUGUAGGGUAAGUGGCAGUGUGUGUGUGUGUGUGUGUGUGUGUGUGUGUGUGUGUGUGUGUGUGUGUGUGUGUGUGUGUGUGU